rnacentral:rRNA from 1 species
UACGGGGGGGGCAAGCGUUGUUCGGAAUUACUGGGCUUAAAGGGCUCGUAGGCGGCCAACUAAGUCAGACGUGAAAUCCCUCGGCUUAACCGGGGAACUGCGUCUGAUACUGGAUGGCUUGAGUUUGGGAGAGGGAUGCGGAAUUCCUGGUGUAGCGGUGAAAUGCGUAGAGAUCGGGAGGAACACCCGUGGCGAAGGCGGCCCUCUGGCUCGACCCUGACGCUGAGAGGCGAAAGCGUGGGGAGCGAACGGG